rnacentral:lncRNA from 1 species
UGACUGUACAUUGACAAGCACUAGCAGGACCUGACCGUUGACCCAUGUGAGCUGUGCACCAGGAAGGCCCCAGAGACUUCAAAUGCAGCCUGAAAUUGGGGCUGGGCCCUCAAGUUCACUUCAAGGGUGUUGGUGCCAGGAGAUGUGAUAUUUUCAAAUGUUUGCCACCGUAAGUCCUUGGAAAAAGACCUCUUUCAGAAUCAAAGUCACUGGGCUUGGCGUGUUCCAUUAGGAAGCUCAUUAAAGCCUAAGAAACAUCUUUGGCAAUGGCAAGACACCAUUGGCUCGUAUGGCAAGGAUCUGGAUGGCAGGAUCUGUGCUUUAUGAAUGACUACGGACUGGCACAGCCUCAGAUGCAGAGUGUCUGAGCACCACAGUGGAGGACUAGAAAGUGUAUGAAGUUGUAUUUGAUGUCUUCUGUUUUAGCAUACUCUCCCACUUCGUGGAAUCUGUUGGAAGCUUCUCUAUGUUGUCUGCUCACAGACUCCAGUUUCGUGUUGCCUUCUGGUCACAGUCCUUGCUUCGGUAGCCACCAAAGCCUGUCCAUUUCAAAGGGCUCUUGGGCUCUGAACUGCCUUCCCCGGACGGCAGUUCUAAGACCCUGUGCUGCAAGAACAAGCUCAGUCUGUUAAAAAAGAGUUCCAUGCCGUGGAGAUGUCAGGCACCAUCUGGCAGGAUGCUGUUGCCUCUCCCUAGCAACUGCUCCCACAUCCAUGUCUCUGGUUACCUUGCCUGCUUCCCUAGUUACCAGAACUUCCAGUCUCUAGCACACCUCCGAUACCACCUCCGUCGGUUUGCAGCUUCCUCCCAGAACCUCUUGAAAGCGGGUCCCGGUGAUUCUGCCUCCAGGAUCACAGACUGACUCUCAGCACCAACCAAACCCACAGUUUCACUCCUGUCAAGCCCACAGUAUCUAUGAGUCAAAACCGCCAGCACUUUAAUUCAGUGUUAAACAAUCUAAUCGAUCAACCAGUGAAUCUCAAUCGUGGAUGUACAUUUGAAUCACCUGCAAGCCUUUAAAAAGACUAACCCCCGCGCCGGGCACCAGCCCCAGAUAUUCUGAUUUAAUUGGUCUGAGGACAGCUCUGUGGACCUGCAUCACUACCUACUGAACAUAGACUUUGUCCAUGUGACUCGCUGGUUGAAUAUUAUGCACCUUUUAAAACUAUAACUCUUCAAUGCCUCCAAAGUGCUGUGUAAAACCUUGAAAUAGUCAGUUAUAUAACAAGAAUGUCACUAACCAUGUUUUCCAAUCAGAUCUUCACCGUUUUUCUCAUAGUCCUCCAUCUCUUCCUAUUCAAGGUGAGGUCCUGGCGCUAGCAACAUCUUAGACAUCCAGAAUAUAUGGCCCCAGUCCAGACCAACUAAAUUGAAAUCUGCAUUUUUAACCAGGUCCAAAGAGAACCCACGGCUGCAUUCAAGUUUGAGAAGCAGUACCCAGUAAACUGCUUUUACGAAUCUUACUGUUAGAAUAACCUCUUUAAAGGCUCUCUUUUUGUGGCCUUAGCCCUUAUUUUCCACUGAAUUUCUCUCUGUGGAUGCCCUGCUCCCACAAAACAGGUCCACCUCCAGCUUCUAGGCUUGGGCUCUCCUCGACACGCUUGCCCACCUUCUGCAAAGCUCUCUCCCGUCCUCUCUGCCUGAAGGCAGCAUUCUCAUUUCUCAAAAUCCCAACAGAGCCUCUCCUCUCCAAAACCUCCCUAGAUCUCUCCAGCC